UACGUAGGGGGCAAGCGUUGUCCGGAUUUAUUGGGCGUAAAGAGCGUGUAGGCGGCCAGGUAGGUCCGUUGUGAAAACUCGAGGCUCAACCUCGAGACGUCGGCGGAAACCCUCUGGCUAGAGUCCGGAAGAGGAGAGUGGAAUUCCUGGUGUAGCGGUGAAAUGCGCAGAUAUCAGGAGGAACACCAAUGGCGAAGGCAGCUCGCUGGGACGGUACUGACGCUGAGGCGCGAAAGCGUGGGGAGCAAACAGG
rnacentral:rRNA from 1 species